AACGGCUGGCGGCGUGCCUAACACAUGCAAGUUGAGCGGGAAUGUAUCUUUAGAGAUUUCGAUUGACGAAGAUGCAGGAGAGCAGCGGACGGGUGAGUAACGCGUGAGCAAUCUGCCCUGUGAGGGGGAUAGCCUCCGGAAACGGAGAUUAAUACCGCAUAACACUGCACUGUCGCAUGAUAGAGCAGUCAAAACUCAGGUGCCACAGGAUGAGCUCGCGUCUCAUUAGCUAGUUGGUAGGGUAAAAGCCUACCAAGGCGACGAUGAGUAGCCGACCUGAGAGGGUGAUCGGCCACACUGGGACUGAGACACGGCCCAGACUCCUACGGGAGGCAGCAGUGGGGAAUAUUGCGCAAUGGGGGGAACCCUGACGCAGCAACGCCGCGUGAAUGAAGAAGGCUUUCGAGUCGUAAAAUUCUGUCCUCAGGGAAGAAGAAGUGACGGUACCUGAGGAGGAAGCCCCGGCUAACUACGUG
rnacentral:rRNA from 1 species